rnacentral:rRNA from 1 species
UGGGGAGUACGNCCGCAAGGUUGAAACUCAAAGGAAUUGACGGGGGCCCGCACAAGCGGUGGAGCAUGUGGUUUAAUUNGAAGCAACGCGAAGAACCUUACCAGGUCUUGACAUCCCGAUGCCCGCUCUAGAGAUAGAGUUUUUCUUCGGAACAUCGGAGACAGGUGGUGCAUGGUUGUCGUCAGCUCGUGUCGUGAGAUGUUGGGUUAAGUCCCGCAACGAGCGCAACCCUUAUUGUUAGUUGCCAUCAUUAAGUUGGGCACUCUAGCGAGACUGCCGGUAAUAAACCGGAGGAAGGUGGGGAUGACGUCAAAUCAUCAUGCCCCUUAUGACCUGGGCUACACACGUGCUACAAUGGUUGGUACAACGAGUCGCAAGCCGGUGACGGCAAGCUAAUCUCUGAAAGCCAAUCUCAGUUCGGAUUGUAGGCUGCAACUCGCCUACAUGAAGUCGGAAUCGCUAGUAAUCGCGGAUCAGCACGCCGCGGUGAAUACGUUCCCGGGCCUUGUACACACCGCCCGUCACACCACGAGAGUUUGUAACACCCAAAGUCGGUGAGGUAACCAUUUAUGGGGCCAGCCGCC